rnacentral:rRNA from 1 species
AUUGAACGCUGGCGGCAGGCCUAACACAUGCAAGUCGAGCGAGCGGAGGACGGGGGUGUAUUGUAUGGGGACUGCCCGAUAGCGGGGGAUAACUACUGGAAACGGUAGCUAAUACCGCAUACUAUCGGAUAACCCAUAUGGGAUUAGCUAGUUGGUGAGGUAAUGGCUCACCAAGGCCACGAUCCCUAGCUGGUCUGAGAGGAUGAUCAGCCACGCUGGGACUGAAACACGGCCCAGACUCCUACGGAGGCAGCAGUGGGGAAUAUUGCACAAUGGGCGCAAGCCUGAUGCAGCCAUGCCGCGUGUAUGAAGAAGGCCCUAGGGUUGUAAAGUGCUUUUGGUCGAGAAGCGUUACCGAAAGAAGAAGCACCGGCUAACUCCGUGCCAGCAGCCGCGGUAAUAC